CUUAAUUUCCGGGGACGUUUGGGACUUUGUCAUUUCCAUAUUAAUUUUUUUUUUCCGAAUUUCAUUUCAUUUUCCUUCUUUUUAUUUUUUUUAUCUCGCCAUUAUUGUUUUGCAAGAGGGGAAAUUUUUGAUUGAUUAUAGUUGGACACUCCCCGUGGUGGGGGGAAGAUUUUAGAUUUCUAUCUCUUCCGCCCCAUUGCGCCAUUUCUGGUUUCGAAAUUCGUUGAAAAUUUUGGAAGAUUUUUCUUCAGGGUGCUAUAGAUCACGGCUGCAGCAACUUGAUCGCAAUUCCGAAUUGAAGAGUUCGAUUUCUUAUUGGUGCAUAAACUUAUUUGAGCUUCUCUUCAGUUCGAGAGGAGGUUUGAGUUUCUGAGAGAACAUGGGGGUUAUGUCUAGGCGGGUUGUUCCUGCCUGUGGUAGCCUCUGUUUCUUCUGUCCUUCUAUGCGGGCGAGGUCGAGACAGCCUGUGAAACGAUACAAGAAGUUUCUUGCCGAUAUACUUCCUCGUAAUCAGAAUGCUAAACCAGACGAUAGAAAAAUUUCUAAGCUCUGUGACUAUGCUUCAAAGAACCCGUUGCGUAUUCCCAAGAUUACCGAACUCCUGGAGCAACGAUGUUACAAAGAUUUGCGGAAUGAGAAUUUUGGAUCUGUGAAAAUCAUAAUUUGUGUUUACAGAAAACUACUAUUGAUGUGCAAAGAUCAGAUGCCACUAUAUGCUAGUAGCUUAAUUGGGAUUUCUCGAAUUCUUUUAGAACAAACACGGCAUGUUGAUAUGCAGAUUCUUGGUUGCAAUAUUCUUGUUGAGUUCAUAAGUCGCCAGACAGAUAGUACAUAUAUGUUCAACUUAGAGGGCAUCAUUCCAAAACUUUGCGAAGUGGCUAUAGAAGGUGAGAGUGACGACAAGGCACCUCAUUUGCAAUCAGCUGGACUCCAAACUCUAGCUUCUAUGAUAUUAUUCAUGGGCGAGCAAUCUCAUAUCUCAAUGGACUUUGACAAUAUCAUAUCAGUGGUUUUGGAGAACUAUGUAGUAGAUGUGCAAUAUUCCAUUGAAGGACAACAGACAGUAAAAGACGACAGCUCUUCUAUGUUAGAUAUUGAUGGAAAGGUUUCUUUGUCUAACCAUUUGAGCAAAAUGGAAACUGAAACGGAUGAUCAGAAGAACCCUUCUUAUUGGUCUAGAGUUUGCUUGUGUAAUAUGGCUAAAUUGGCAAAGGAAGCUACAACUGUCAGGCGCGUGUUUGAACCUCUGUUUCAUCAUUUUGAUACUGAAAAUCAAUGGUCCUUAGAAAAGGGACUUGCCUGCUCGGUGUUGACAUUUAUGCAAUCUCUUAUGGAUGAAUCAGGAGACAACUCGCAUCUUUUGUUUUCGAUUCUUGUCAAGCACUUGGAUCAUAAAAGCAUUAUAAAAAAGCCUCAGAUUCAACUAGAUAUUAUCAAUGUAACUACACAACUUGCUCAAAAUGCAAAGCCGCAAGCCUCCGUUACUAUUAUUGGGGCUAUCACUGAUUUGAUAAAACAUCUACGAAAGUGCAUUCUAUGUUUAUUUGAAGCAUCCAGCACUGGACACGACACAGAUAAACGGAAUACCCAACUUCAGAUGGCAUUGGAGACCUGCAUUUCUCAGCUCUCAAAGAAGGUUGGAGAUGCGGGACCCAUACUAGAUAUGCUAGCUGUUGUGAUGGAGAAUGUUACAAAUAAUACUAUUUCAGCUCGAGCAACAAUCUCUGCAGUUUAUCAGACUGCAAUGAUUGUGGCUUCUAUUCCAAAUGUUUCAUAUCACAAUAAGGCUUUUCCCGAUGCUCUAUUUCAUCAGUUGCUUUUAGCAAUGGCUCACCCUGACCAUGAGACUCGAGUUCGGGCACAUGACAUUUUCUCUAUAGUGCUUAUGCCGUCCAUUAAGUGUCCUAGGAUGGAACCGAAAAUGGUUUCCUCAGAAACUGUUUCUUGGUUACCAUUUGGCAGUGCAACACAAAAAAUGAAUGGUGGAAGUUCGUCCUUUAAGGAUGAAGACAAACAUGCAUCAGAAUCCAUGAAUGGGGAGAGAAGGGAAGAAUGUAAAGCAACAGAGUCCAUUUCCGAGGAAUCUGCAACACAUCCAUCUAGUUGUGAAUCCUCCAGAUUCAAUCAUAGUUCCAGCGAGGGAAAAAAUAAGUUGGCUUCCCUCCGUUUAAGCAGUCACCAAUCGAGUCUCCUGCUCUCGUCAUUAUGGAUCCAAGCUACAUAUGCGGAUAAUACACCUGCAAAUUUUGAGGCUAUGGCCCACAGUUAUAGCAUUGUUUUGCUAUUUACCAGAUCUAAGACUUCAAGUCACAUGGCUUUGGUACGAUGUUUUCAGCUGGCGUUUUCCCUUCGUAGGAUUGCUGUGGAUCAAAAAGGUGGUUUACUACCCUCUCGCAGAAGGUCAAUCUUCACUUUGGCAUCCUUUAUGCUUCUAUUUUCAGCCAGGGCGGGCGAUCUCCCAGAGUUGAUUCCUAUCAUUAAAGCAUCAUUAGAUAAUAUAAUGGUUGAUCCUCACCUCCAGUUGGUUAAUGAUACCAGGCUGCAGGCUGUCCGCGUGAGGUCUGAAAAGGAUAGCGUACCAUUCGGGUCAGAAGAAGAUGAAGUUGCUGCAUCGAGGUUUCUAGCAGUACUUGAACUAGAUGAACAGCAGUUGAAGAAAAAUGUGCUCUCACACUUCACAAUUAAAUAUGCCAGACUCUCAGAGGCUGAGUUAUCAAGUAUUCGAGUGGAGCUCUUACAUGGGUUUUUGCCUGAUGAGACAUACCCAUUAGGAGCUCCAUUAUUUAUGGAGACACCACAUCCAUGUUCCCCACUCGCUAAGCUGGCAUUUUCUGACCACGACGAGGUUAUGCCUGCUGCUUUUACAGACGACGAAGCCUUCCUUGAGCCAAGCGAAAGCCAGUCUGAUCGUAAAACGUCACUUUCCAUCAGUAACCUCGACAUUUUAAAUGUCAAUCAGCUUUUGGAAUCAGUGCUCGAAACAGCCAGACAAGUUGCAAGCAACCAAGUUUCUUCUGCGCCCAUUCCUUACGAUCAAAUGAAAAGUCAAUGUGAAGCGCUCGUAACGUGCAAACAGGAGAAAAUGUCGGUGCUUCAUAGUUUCAAGCAAACAAAGGAAGAGAAGGCGAUAGUACUCUCCAGUGAAAUUGAAACUUCAUAUCCUCCUUUACUUGUCAAUACAAUGGAAAUUGUUCCGGAUGAUCUUAAGUAUUACGCCAAGGAGGAUCAGCCUCUUCCUUGUUCACAUGAAUAUGGUCGCUGUUCUUUAAGAUUACCACCUUCAAGUCCAUAUGACAAGUUCUUGAAGGCUGCUGGAUGCUAGAACUUAGCUACGAUUCAACGAGUUAAAAAGGCUGUAGUUCGUAUUCCCGAGUUUGCUACUUCGAUAUUCCACUUUCGAUUUUUUCAUUCUUGAUUUAGUUUGCUAUACAGAGGAUGCUUUCGCAAUGCGGCAUCAGAGUGACUUUGGCAAGAAUAGAUGGUUUUUGUAAUGCAGUCGUCCAGAUACUCAUGGGAAGAGUUUCUUUGCUGUCCGUUCGGGUCAACCGCUAAACAAGUAAAUGACAAUAUACAAUUUUCAUGAGUUCAAAGGAUUGAUCGACGUUUGAAGAACAUUUAACCGGAGGCUGACAAAAUCAAAGAUCUACAUGACCAAAUUUUCCUGUGGUGCUCGGCUCGAUUAGACGAAUGCGAGUGAGGGAUAAGCUUCUCAAGCUGAAGAAACUUAUUCGAUCAUAACUUUUGUAAGUGAUUUAAUUUUUGCAAUGGAAUGAAUGGUAACAGGAAAUUUAAUAUUAUAUACGGAUGUGAAUUUUCAUGUAUCCUUA